rnacentral:rRNA from 1 species
UACGAAGGGGGCUAGCGUUGCUCGGAAUCACUGGGCGUAAAGCGCACGUAGGCGGAUCUUUAAGUCAGGGGUGAAAUCCCAAGGCUCAACCUUGGAACUGCCUUUGAUACUGGGGAUCUCGAGUUCGGGAGAGGUGAGUGGAACUGCGAGUGUAGAGGUGAAAUUCGUAGAUAUUCGCAAGAACACCAGUGGCGAAGGCGGCUCACUGGCCGAUACUGACGCUGAGGCACGAAAGCGUGGGGAGCAAACAGG